CCCGCACAAGCGGUGGAGCAUGUGGUUUAAUUACGAAGCAACGCGAAGAACCUUACCAGGUCUUGACAUCCCGAUGCUAUUUCUAGAGAUAGAAAGUUACUUCGGUACAUCGGUGACAGGUGGUGCAUGGUUGUCGUCAGCUCGUGUCGUGAGAUGUUGGGUUAAGUCCCGCAACGAGCGCAACCCCUAUUGUUAGUUGCCAUCAUUCAGUUGGGCACUCUAGCGAGACUGCCGGUAAUAAACCGGAGGAAGUGGGGAUGACGUCAAAUCAUCAUGCCCCUUAUGACCUGGGCUACACACGUGCUACAAUGGUUGGUACAACGAGUUGCGAGUCGGUGACGGCGAGCUAAUCUCUUAAAGCCAAUCUCAGUUCGGAUUGUAGGCUGCAACUCGCCUACAUGAAGUCGGAAUCGCUAGUAAUCGCGGAUCAGCACGCCGCGGUGAAUACGUUCCCGGGCCUU
rnacentral:rRNA from 1 species